CCAACUUCAGCCACUGAAGGAAGCAGGGAUGGCCAGGUUCCAAGAGCCUGAGUGGCUGUCUCCUGAUGGCUGAUGGAUCAGAGGCCUUAGGAAAAGCAGAUGGCCCUGUGGCCCUACCUUUAGGGUAGAAGUACUGAUGUGCCAUGUCCGGUAGCAAGUGAGGUUGGUGGUUGGUGCAGCGGCUCCUGGCGCACCCUUGCAGAAGUGACUGGUUGCUCUUUGAGCCAGCUUGGCCUUGCCUGGCAUGCACAAGCCUCAGUGCAACAACAGUGGUACAAAUGGAGCCACAGAGAGGAAACGAGUGGCAGACUUAGGAGCAGGGUGUGCGCUGCCUUUGGGGCUCCAGUCUAUGCCUCGGGUCCUAUGGCACUGUGGGCUUCUUGGUUGCCAAGAGGCAGACCACAGGCUGUCUUGAGGAAGACUUUAUGUUGAAGUGCAGAAAGCAGCCAGGAUUACCACUCAGGGGACUCGGCCUUCUGUGGCCCUGGCCAGACUUAGAAUUUGUGCCAAGGCAGGACAAGCUCACUUGGAGCAGCGUGUUAGUACCUGGGGCCUGUGCAUGCCAGGCAAGGCCAAGCUGGCUGAAAGCAGAACCAGCCACCUCUACAAGGGUGCGCCUGGACCAGUUGGACCAGCCACCAGCUUCACCCACUGAAGGAAGCCGGGAUGGCCAGGUUCCAACAGCCUGAGUGGCUGUCUCCUGAUGGCUGAUGGAGCAGAGGCCUUAGGAAAAGCAGAUGGCCUUGUGGCCCUACCUUUAGGGUAGAAGUACUGAUGUGCCAUGUCUGGCAGCAAGUGAGGUUGGUGGCUGGUGCACCGGCUCCUGGCACACCCUUGCAGAGGUGACUGGUUGCUCUUUGAGCCAGCUUGGCCUUGCCUGGCAUGCACAAGCCUCAGUGCAACAACAGUGCUACAAAUGGAGCCACAGAGAGGAAACAAGCAGCAGGCUCAGGAGCAGGGUGUGCGCUGCCUUUGGGGCUUCAGUCCAUGCCUCAGGCGUCAUAUGGCACUGCGGGCUUCUUAGUUGCCAAGAGGCAGACCACAGGCCGUCUUGAGGAGGACUUCAUGUUCAAGUGCAGAAAGUAGCCAGGAUUAGCAUCUAGGGGACUCGGCCUUCUGUGGCCCUGGCCAGACUUAGAAUUUGUGUCAAGGCAGGACAAGCUCACUCGGAGCAGCAUGUUGCUACCUGGGGCCUGUGCAUGCCAGGCAAGGCCAAGCUGGCUCAAAGAGCAACCAGUCACCUCUGCAAGGGUGCGCCUGUGGUCUGGAUGGUGGUGGCUCCCUGUGUUAGUCCUCCAAGCCCAUAUUUUCCUUCUGCACUGGCCUCACAGAGGUUUCCGAAGAAGCUCUGCCUCUGCAGCAUGCUUCUGCCUGGAAACAAUGGGAGGUAGUUUUGCAGGGUGGAAGCCUUCACCAAUGGUUAAACAGCAUCUUCAUGAUGCUGACCUCGUGAUAGUGAGUUCUCAUGAGAUCUGCUUGUAUAACAUGAUGUGGCACUUCUUUCCUCUCUCUGUCUUGCUCCUUCUCCUGCUGUAUGAAACAUCUCCUUGCCGCUUGGUCUUCUAGUAUGAUUGGGAGCACCUGAGUCCUCCCAGAAGCAGAAACCACUAUGCUUCCUUUGCAGCCUGCAGAACUGUGAGCCAAUGAAACCUCUUUUCUUUUUGAUCAUACAGAAGGUUAGUACUGUGAAGUGAAGCUAUGAAAUUCCUUCAAGGCCUUUUCCCUAUGAAAUGCCUUCAAGGCCUUUUCCCCAUUGUCUUGGCAAGCAGCACUCAGCUUCUUUUCAUGCAAAUAUCUGAAGCCUAUGUGAUUUUUUUCCCUGAAAAUGGACUUUUCUUCUUUUACCACAUUGCCAGGCUGUGACACAGAGAGCUGAUAAUGUAGAAGCAGGUUCAGUAGUGGGUAAAAGACAGAGGUCGGGAGAGUUGGGAAAGCUUAAAAGACAGCAAGAUGAGGAAAAGCUUGGACCACUGUAGAGAAUUGUUAAAUACUUGUGAUCAGAAGGCUGACAGAAGGAUGGACAGUGAAGGCCAGACUUAAAAGUUCUCGGAUGAAAACCAGGAAUUUCCUGUGAAUAGGAGCCAAUACUACAUUUGAUUUGCCCAACAGAGGCUGCACAGUGACCUUGCCCUGGAGAUCUGUGAAACUAUGAACUUGGGGGUGAUGAUUUAGGAUGUAUCUUGUGGAAUGAACAUCUGAGCAGCAUAGCUCAAGAGGUGUCCUGUCUGCGUCGAACAGCCUGUGUUGUUAUGUAUGAGCUAAGAAAUGACCUCAAAUUGGAACUUCUACUUAAAUGAGAAGCAGAGCUCAAAAGUUUGGAAAAUUUGCAGCCUAGUCAAGUGGUCAAAAAGAAAAGCUGAUUUUCAGGGGGAAAAUUCAAUACGGCUUAGAGUAUUUGCAUAAAAAGGAGCUUAGUGCAAGUAUCCAAGACAAAGGGUAAAAGGCCUUGGAGGCAUUUCAGAGACCUUUGCAGUAGCUCUUGCUCUCACAGGCCCUGGGGCCUAGCAGAGAAGAAUGGCUUCCUGGGCCAGCUCCAUGGCCCUGCUGCUGUGUGCAUCCUCAGGACACUGCUGCCUGCAUCCCUGCAGCCCCAGCUCCAGCCAUGGCUGAAUGAUGCACAGGUACAGCUUGGGUCACUACUUCAGAUGUGGCUCCAAGCCUUGAUGGCUUCCACAUAGUGUUAAGGCAGCAGGUGAAGAGAGCAAGAGACUAGAGGCUUUGGAGCCUCUUGUCUGGACUCCAGAGGAUGUAGAGAAAAGCCUGGGUGUCCAGGCAGUAGCCUUUCCAAGAGGCUCAUGGAAAACCUCUGCUAGGGCAGCAAAGAAGGGCCAUGUAGGGUUGAAGCCCCCUCACAGGGAGGCUCCAUUCUCCAAACCCCAGAUUCAUAGACCCACCAACAUCUUGCACCCUCAGUGUGGAAAAGCUACAGGCAUUCAAAACAGCCCUGUCCAUGAGAGGCAGCUGUGGGUGCUGAACGCUGCGAAGCCACAGGUACAGAUCUGCCCAAGGCCUUGGGAGCCCAGCCCUCACAGCCCUGUGCCAUGGAUGUGGGACGAGGAUUCAAAAAGGAUGAUUUUGGAGCUGUCGGAUUGAAUGACUGGCCUGCUGGGUUUUGGAUGUUCAUGUAUCCUGAGCUUUGAGAUUUGAAUACUGGCCUGCUGGGUUUUGGAUGUGCAUUGGGCCUGUGGUCCCAUUUGUGUUAUUUUUCUGGGAAAUUUCUUCCCUUUGGAGUGAGAAAGCUUACCCAAUGCCUGUACCAUCAUCGUACCUUAAAAGAACUCCAUUUUAAGUUCAGGGACUCCUUGGCAGAAGAGACCGUAGCCUUGUAUCAGAUAAGACUUUGAACUUCUUACAUUUGAGUUAAUGCUGGAAUGAGUUAAGGCUUUUGUAAACAUUUGAAAAGGCAUGACUGUAUUUUACUCUGUGAGAAUGACAUGAGAUUCGGGGGAGGGGGUCAAGGUCAGAAUAAUAUGGUUUGGCUGUGUUUCCCUAGAAAAACUCAUGUGGAAUUGCAAUCCCGAAUGUUGGAGGUGGAGCCUGGUGGGAGGUGAUUUAAUCAUGGAUGGGAGGUGGGUGGGGUUGGAGGGAAAAAGAGGUGGGUAGCGUGGUGAGGAGUAAGCUCGCUGUAGGGUGGUGGGAGGGUGGGGGUAGUAGGAAGGAGGAGUAGCCUGCUGCAGAGGCAGAGGCUCGUAGAAAACCUCUGCUAGGACUGUGCACCUGUGGCUUUGCAGGGUGUAGCCCCCGUGGCUGCUCUCAUGGGCUGGGCUGGUGUUGAGUGCCGGUAGCUUUUCCAUACUGAAGGUGCGAGCUGUUGAUGGGUCUAUGAAUCUGGGCUCUGGAGGAUGGUGACCUCCUGCAUAGGGGCUCCAAGCCCAAAUUUUUCUUCUGCACUGCCAUAGUACAGGUUUUCCAAGAGGCUCAGGCUCUGCCUCAGGCUUCUGUCCGGAAACAGGAGGGGGUGGAGGUGGGUUGGGGACGGAUCCUUCACUAAUGAUUAAGCACCAUCUUCUUGAUGCUGACCUCGUGAUAGUGAGUUCUCAUGAACUUCCUCAUAGUGUUAAGCCACUGGUUGGAUGGAGCAUGAGCCUAGGGGCUUGGGAGGCUCUGUAUAGAUUUUGGAGGAUGUAUGGAAAUGUCUGGGUGUCUAGGCAAAAGCCUUCCUAAAAGGCAGAACCUCAUAAGAAACCUCUACUAGGGCAGUGCAGAAGGAAAAUAUGGGGUUGGAGCCCCCACACUGGAGGCCACCAUCAUGAAGACCGCAGAUUAAUAGACCCCGCAACAGCUUGUACCGUCAGUGGGUAAAAGCUACAGGCGCUCAACACCAGCCCAGCCCAUGAAGACAGCCGUGGGGUAUAAACCCUGCAAAGCCACAGGUGCAGAGCUGCCCAAGGCCUUGGGAGCCCAGCCCUUACAUCCCUGUGCCCUGGAUGUGGGACAAGGUUUCAAAAAGGGUAAUUUUGGAGCUGUAGGAUUGAAUGACUGGCCUUCUGGGUUUGGAGUUUCAUGGGGCCUGUGAGUCCUUUCUGUGUUUUGUUCUUUCUGGCAAAAUUAUUCCUUUUGGCUGGGAAUGCUUACCCAUUGCCUGUAUAAGCAUUGUACCUUGGAAGUAGUUAACUUUCUUUAUAUUUCAGAGGCUCAUGAGCCUAAGGGUCUGCAGCCUUGUGUUAGAUGAGACUUUAAGCUUUGAACAUUUGUAUAAAUGAUGAAAUGAUAUAAGACUUUGGGGGACUGUAGGGAAGCUAUCAUUGUAGUUUGCAAUGUGAGAAGGACAUGAGAUUUGGGGAGCCAGGGAGAGAAUAAUAAAAUUUAGCUCUGUGUCCCUACCAAAAUUCGUGUGGAAUUGUAAUGGGGAAUGUUAAAGGUGGGGCCUGGUGGAAGGUGAUUUAAUCAUGGUGGAGAGUGG
rnacentral:lncRNA from 1 species